rnacentral:misc_RNA from 1 species
GAGCUGGCUUUCUCAAGAUUUUGCCGUUCCUCGGUGACAGAUUUUGGUCUUUUCAAACAAAAUUGGCUUGCUUUUGAGCAGCCUUUCUUCCCCCUGUUGGUGCUUUCAACUCUUGCCAUUUCAUUGCUACUGAUGACUAUUUACUUGGCUCAAAUCUUUAUAUGGCUUAAGUCAUCACUAGGCUGGGAUCAAUGCGCAUUCGUCAGCUUACACACUCAGUCUAUCUAUGGCACUUGUUUUCU